UACGUAGGGUGCAAGCGUUGCCCGGAUUUAUUGGGCGUAAAGGGCGCGUAGGCGGCUCUGCACGUCCGUUGUGAAAUCGCCCGGCUCAACUGGGCGGGGUCAGCGGAUACGGCAGAGCUUGAGCAAGCUAGGGGGCAAUGGAAUUCCCGGUGUAGUGGUGGAAUGCGUAGAUAUCGGGAGGAACACCCGUAGCGAAGGCGGCACUCUGGGCCGGUACUGACACUGAGGAGCGAAAGCGUGGGGAGCGAACAGG
rnacentral:rRNA from 1 species